AGAAAUAUGAAGAGAAUGUAACUAGAGGAAGUAGUGGUUGAAACACUGUAAAGUGAAAUGGGAGGCGACCUGAGGCAGUUGCUCAAACUAGCAGCAGGACCGUGAGCCCCUCUUGGAUGCCUGGGUUGGCUGAUGGAGCCCGGUGAGGAUCUGUCUUGGCUUCCGCCUCUCCUUGCUCUGCCUGAGGCUGUUUCAUCUGCAUUACCGGGACCAGAAGCCCUGGGAAGAUGAAGUGACAAACCCCAUCCGUGGCUGCACCGGGACACGAGCACGAGUUCCCUUGCAGCUUUGUUGACUGUUGCAGCCACGUAGACACUCAUACUUCUGCUGAGUCUGGAGAAAAAACGAUCCAAUAAGAUUGGAUCCAGGGUAAGAAAAGGACUUUUUUUACACCUUCUUGGAAGAGGCUUCUCCACCCCUCCCCAGGGCUCCUUGUAUUAGAAAACCAUGCAUGUUUCCUGUGCGAUAGCACAGCAAUUCGGAAGAUCACAGACUGGUAAUUGUUGCAAGCCAGGGUAACAUGCAGCUUAUUUGUUUUUCUUACUUUGACAGCGAUCAUAAGCCACCAAUA
rnacentral:lncRNA from 1 species